rnacentral:rRNA from 1 species
GAUGAACGCUGGCGGCGUGCCUAAUACAUGCAAGUCAAGCGAACAGACGAGGAGCUUGCUCCUCUGACGUUAGCGGCGGACGUGUGAGUAACACGUGUAUAACCUACCUAUAAGACUGGUAUCACUUCGGGAAACCGGAGCUAAUACCGGAUAAUAUAUUGAACCGCAUGGUUCAAUAGUGAAAGACGGUUUUGCUGUCACUUAUAGAUGGAUCCGCGCCGCAUUAGCUGGUUGGUAGGGUAACGGCUUAGCAAGGCAACGAUGCGUAGCCGACGUGAGAGAGUGGUAGGCCGCACUGGAGCUGGAACAGGGUCAAGGGUACUGCGAGACGGAGCAGACGGGAAUCGUCCGCAAUAGGCGAAAACUUGGCGGAGCGGCGCCGAGUGAGAGGUGACAGUCUUCGGAUCGUAAAACUCUGUUAUGAGUGAAAAACAGCUUUGUCAGUAAACAUACCCGUCUUGACGGUAACUAGUCAGAAAGCCACGGCUAACUACGUG